rnacentral:rRNA from 1 species
GACGAACGCUGGCGGCGUGCCUAAUACAUGCAAGUCGAACGCACAGUUUAUACCGUAGCUUGCUACACCAUACACUGUGAGUUGCGAACGGGUGAGUAACGCGUAGGUAACCUGCCUGGUAGCGGGGGAUAACUAUUGGAAACGAUAGCUAAUACCGCAUAAUAUUAAUUAUUGCAUGAUAAUUGAUUGAAAGAUGCAAUUGCAUCACUACCAGAUGGACCUGCGUUGUAUUAGCUAGUAGGUGAGGUAACGGCUCACCUAGGCGACGAUACAUAGCCGACCUGAGAGGGUGAUCGGCCACACUGGGACUGAGACACGGCCCAGACUCCUACGGGAGGCAGCAGUAGGGAAUCUUCGGCAAUGGACGAAAGUCUGACCGAGCAACGCCGCGUGAGUGAAGAAGGGUUUCGGAUCGUAAAGCUCUGUUGUAAGAGAAGAACGGGUGUGAGAGUGGAAAGUUCACACUGUGACGGUAUCUUACCAGAAAGGGACGGCUAACUACGUG